rnacentral:rRNA from 1 species
CAGCAGCCCGGGAAUACGUAGGGUGCAAGCGUUAAUCGGAAUUACUGGGCGUAAAGCGUGCGCAGGCGGUUUGUUAAGACAGAUGUGAAAUCCCCGGGCUCAACCUGGGAACUGCAUUUGUGACUGGCAAGCUAGAGUGUGGCAGAGGGGGGUGGAAUUCCGCGUGUAGCAGUGAAAUGCGUAGAUAUGCGGAGGAACACCGAUGGCGAAGGCAGCCCCCUGGGCCAACACUGACGCUCAUGCACGAAAGCGUGGGGAGCAAACAGGAUUAGAUACCCGAGUAGUCCCUGUCUCUUAUACA